CUGAGUUCUAAGUAUUUCUAUCACAGGAUUUCUUUACUUUCCUUUUUACAAUAAUAUUUGGAAAUCUGACCUGCCUCUCCCUACCCUCCUUCUACUUCAAAGUUCAUGGAAGGGAAACAAUAUUCUUAUUCCCCCUCCAUCUGCGUCAGCACUGGGAACCUUGAAGAACUGAGCCUUAAAGAACAGGCUGGUUCUUUAAGGAGAGCAUAGGGUAUGCAAUGCUGAAUGACACGUAUGUUCUCUUAUAUGUUGAAAGUAUAUAUGCUGAAACAGCUUGCAUAGCAAAGGCUGUCAGGGGUCAAGGAGGAUGGUUUGGACCCCACCUCAUGCAAGCAGGCUGGGAGCCCAGGAGCUUCCUCUCCUCUGAGCUCAGGCCGGCAGCUGGGACCCCUUCAGGUGCUCCAGAGCUGAGGGGCCCUCUUGGCCCCUGCAUCUCCAUCCCUCUCCACCUCAGCCUUCUCGAGCUCUCCCGCCCACACGAGGAGCCCGUGCUGGAAUCUGGGAUGCUGAUGGCCAUCCAGAGACUUCAGCCUCCACUCCAGCCCGCCCUGAAGAAGCUCCGAGGCCUGGGGACGCGCUGCCGCCUGUGCGCACACGCUCCUGUGGUGAGGGGCGCACGGAUGGGGGGCUGAGGUCAUUUUCACCUGAGGGAAAUGCAACGAAUCCACGAAUCGUACUGCAGCUGUGACCUGCUUGUCAUAGGCUGGGAAUUCUGCUAAAAAUACUGAAACAAACAAAUCCCCAGAAGGGAAUGGGGGGGCAGAGGGAUGUGAGAAAAUACUUGCCGGUAGAAGGAACACUUUCCUUAAAUGCACCCUCAAACGAGUGAUGAGUUUUUCCCCCAGAAAAUUGUUAAAACCUGCUACAUCUCUAAAAAAUAAAAAAACAUAAUUUUCACAACAAAGAAA